rnacentral:rRNA from 1 species
CUACGGGAGGCAGCAGUGGGGAAUUUUGGACAAUGGGGGCAACCCUGAUCCAGCCAUGCCGCGUGAGUGAAGAAGGCCUUCGGGUUGUAAAGCUCUUUCAGCCGGAAAGAAAUCGUGCAACCUAAUACGUUGUAUGGGUGACGGUACCGGAAGAAGAAGCACCGGCUAACUACGUGCCAGCAGCCGCGGUAAUACGUAGGGUGCGAACGUUAAUCGGAAUUACUGGGCGUAAAGCGUGCGCAGGCGGUUUUGUAAGACAGGUGUGAAAUCCCCGGGCUUAACCUGGGAACUGCAUUUGUGACUGCAAGGCUAGAGUAUGGCAGAGGGGGGUAGAAUUCCACGUGUAGCAGUGAAAUGCGUAGAUAUGUGGAGGAAUACCGAUGGCGAAGGCAGCCCCCUGGGUCAAUACUGACGCUCAUGCACGAAAGCGUGGGGAGCAAACAGGAUUAGAUACCCUGGUAGUCCACGCCCUAAACGAUGUCAACUAGGUGUUGGGGGAGGAGACUUCCUUAGUACCUCAGCUAACGCGUGAAGUUGACCGCCUGGGRAGKACGGCCGCAAGGUUGAAACUCAAAUGAAUKGACGGWRAUUYG